rnacentral:tRNA from 1 species
GCCGGGCGACAUGCUGGGCACGGGCACGCUGUCGGGUCCCAAGCCCGACGAAGCCGGUUCGAUGCUGGAGCUCAGCG